CCUGAUGGCUCAGUAAAGCAUCUGCCUACAAUGCAGGAGACCCGGGUUAAAUCCCUGGAUUAGGA
rnacentral:tRNA from 1 species